AACACGAUUGUUGUUUCUUGGACUGCAGAAAUUGGAAGAAACUAUUCCAUGGCAGUGUAUCUUGUAAAACAGUUGUCCUCAACAGUUCUUCUUCAGAGGUUACGAGCAAAGGGAAUAAGGAAUCCGGAUCAUUCUAGAGCUUUAAGUACGUAUGAUAAACUUAUUUCACUUAUUCAGCUAACUAUUUUGUUAAAGGUUAGAGUAGUAUUUUCUCAACUCAAGAAAUUUUAGAAUUUGUUUAUUCACUGGAGCUUGUUGUGUAGAGGAUUAAAAACACUGAGAACCUUCUGAACUUGUAAAACAAGACCUUAGAGUAGUUCUAAUAUCUUUGUCAUGAGCUAUAUUUUAUAAUCUAUAUUUUACUAAUCUUAACUUUGUGAAGUCAGUGCAUGAACAUGAAAGAAUAUUAUUCUACAACUUCAUAAAAUCAAUGUUUAAGGAAUUCUGGGAA
rnacentral:sRNA from 1 species